GCGAGUCUUUGUAGUAAUACAAGGCAGACGGCUCAGUAACACGUAGUCAACCUACCCUAUAGACAAGAAUAAUCUCGGGAAACUGGGCAUAAUUCUUGAUAGAUCAUAAUGCCUGGAAUGGUUUAUGGUUAAAAUGAUUCGUCGCCAUAGGAUGGGACUGCGGCCUAUCAGCUUGUUGGUGAGGUAAUGGCCCACCAAGGCGAUUACAGGUACGGGCUCUGAGAGGAGAAGCCCGGAGAUGGGUACUGAGACACGGACCCAGGCCCUAUGGGGCGCAGCAGGCGAGAAAACUUUGCAAUGUGCGAAAGCACGACAAGGUUAAUCCGAGUGAUUUCUGCUAAAGAAAUCUUUUGCCAGUCAUAAAACCACUGGUGAAUAAGGGGUGGGCAAGUUCUGGUGUCAGCCGCCGCGGUAAAACCAGCACCUCAAGUGGUCAGGAUGAUUAUUGGGCCUAAAGCAUCCGUAGCCGGCUUUGUUAGUUUUCGGUUAACUCCAUGUGCUCAACGCAUGGGCUGCCGAAAAUACUGCAUA
rnacentral:rRNA from 1 species